UGCGUAGGCGGCGCGGAAAGUCAGGGGUGAAAUCCCGGAGCUCAACUCCGGAACUGCCUUUGAUACUCCCGCGCUAGAGAGCUGGAGGGGACAUCGGAAUUCACGGUGGAGCAGUGAAAUGCGUGGAUAUCGUGAGGAACACUAGUGGCGAAGGCGGAUGUCUGGACAGUAUCUGACGCUGAGGCAAGGCCAGGGGAGGCGACG
rnacentral:rRNA from 1 species